AUUGAACGCUGGCGGCAUGCCUUACACAUGCAAGUCGAACGGCAGCAUGAUCUAGCUUGCUAGAUUGAUGGCGAGUGGCGAACGGGUGAGUAAUACAUCGGAACGUGCCCUGUAGCGGGGGAUAACUAGUCGAAAGAUUAACUAAUACCGCAUACGACAUGAGGGUGAAAGUGGGGGACCGCAAGGCCUCAUGCUAUAGGAGCGGCCGAUGUCUGAUUAGCUAGUUGGUGAGGUAAAGGCUCACCAAGGCGACGAUCAGUAGCUGGUCUGAGAGGACGAUCAGCCACACUGGAACUGAGACACGGCCCAGACUCCUACGGGAGGCAGCAGUGGGGAAUUUUGGACAAUGGGCGAAAGCCUGAUCCAGCAAUGCCGCGUGUGUGAAGAAGGCCUUCGGGUUGUAAAGCACUUUUGUCCGGAAAGAAAUGGCUCUGGUUAAUACCUGGGGUUGAUGACGGUACCGGAAGAAUAAGGACCGGCUAACUACGUG
rnacentral:rRNA from 1 species